GCUGAUCGAUGGCUAGCGCUCUGGCUCCGCUGUGACCCAGCCCAGCAGAGGGUUCAGUGCUCAGACAGGGCAGAGGGCUAAAAGGCUCCAGCAAGCUAGAGGACCACAGAUUGACCUCUGGAACGUACCACAUAUACAGUACAUGGUUUUGUGUUUGUAAGUUAGCGCUAGCACUGGCAUUUUGGGACAUGCAGGGAAUUAAAGCAGGUUAGGACCCCACAUAACCAGCAAAGUUUGAAACCUGGAAUGAAUGAUUGACAGGUAAGAAGGACUUUCAGGAAGCUUUAUUGUUACAUUACAAAUGCAAUUUGAUUACAUGUUUCAGAUCAUGUUUCAGAUCACAAUACAUUUUUGAUUCUGUUUACAUCUGUAGUUCUGACCACUUGUGAUCAGACUGACCAAAUGGAUGGUCAGAUGUAAAUGAGGCCAUUGAUGCUUUAUACAGGUCUCAAUCAGCAUUGCCUAAUCAAUGCUACCUAGCCUUAGUGCUUAGUGCUUAAUGUGGACAAGUGGCUAAUUUGACAGCAUCUGUGUUAAAAAUUACACCUUGUGUUUUUGCAGCAGUUAGCAGGAGCACUGGAGCCUAUUUA
rnacentral:lncRNA from 1 species